UCUGUCAUUCCCCAGUGGUGUGUGAAAGUAUAUUGCCUGAUGCUGAUUGGAUAGCUUUUUAGUCUUUCACAAAACUUGAAACCGCCCAUCCCCUCAUCUCCUCCUCGCAUUACUCUGUUCUAUUUCCAUGCAGUAGCGGUCACUCAGUAUCAAGGGGUCCCGCUGGGGAUGAGUUGUCCCAAUAUUAAAUUUAAGCGGAUACAAUAGAAAGACUGAAGAGGACCAGAUUUUCGACAGUGCGAGAAAUUCACGCAAGAAAAUACGGAUUUGUUCAGUACAGUCCGCCAUACCGAAGACUCAGAAGCAAUGGCAGGGCUUUGGUCUGAAUGAAGACAGACAACCUGUUCAAGCCUGGAUCACAGAGCACUAAGUGGAUUGAAGGAGACGGAUGGACGAGAGAGAAGGAGGGAGAGAAGAGACGAGAGAUUACAGACUAAUCCAGGACUUGACCAAUCCCUGUCUAGCCUUUUUUUUUUUUUUGUUCAGGACGCGGACAAACAGUGCAGGGAUUACUGAGUUUAGUUUACUGCUUUUUAAAGAAUUAACAUUUUAUAGCAUCCGCUGUGUGCUUUGGGAGUCCCAGGAUCUUGGGGGGCUGCGUUUGCCAAGUUCUAAAACAAAAGAUCAGGAGGAGGAAGCUCCGUAGCAGGUGGGGCAGGUCGCCCAGAUAGACGGCGCAGAGCUUGGGUCAUCUGCCACGCAAGAGUGUCUCCCACAUCUGAAGUGUGUGGAGGGACACUGGACAGUGAAGUCAGAGCUCCUGUGGCCAUUUUGUUUCAAAGAACUUGCAACGAGGGAAUUGUCCCCUGGAAUACUACCCACCCGGAGCGGAAUUACGAGAAUAUACAGGGAUUCGGAACAACAGGACAGAACUGUUGUUCUUGUCUUUGGAGAUUUUUUUUUUUUUUUUUAGAUAAACGAAGACGGACUGGACAUCACUAACUCAUGCUUAAUGCUUUGGCCUCACAUUUUAUUUUGUAUCUCGAUGCUAUUUAGAUUGUAAUUUAGCACACAGAUGGGGUUGGGACGUGAACAUUAAGAUAAGAGACCUGCAAUAGCAUAAAAUCUCCUUGUGUGCUUUGGAAAAAAAGCUACUUUGGAAAGAACAGUGGUAGUCUGUUAAGUAAGCUGUUUUGGGUGCAUAUGUGGUAUGUUUAACGGUAAGCAACUUUUGGACUGUUUGGCUUUUGGAAACAUUUCUCUGACACCCACAGACAGAAGGGCUUUUUUUAUUGCUGAACCUGUUGUUUUGUGAAAAAGAUGAGACCAGCUGCUGGCUGUCUGUGCUUCUCAGAGUGUUUCCGUGGGAACUGGCCCAGGUGGAAAUGAAGGUACUGGACGAGAAUUAAGAGCAAACAAAAAAAAGUGCUUUAAAACCAUCAAAAUCCUAUUACAGUUCCCUAACAGCAUAUUUAUACAGUCAAACAAGUGAGCAGGCUUCCUGUGGGAAAGUAUAUGACAGCUACCACCAGUUGUGUGUAAAUGUAAAAAUACAUAUUCAUAUACAUUUCUUUUUUUAUACAGAUAUCCACACAAGGCAAGUUAACUGAAUUUUUAGUGUUUGUUGACAUAGGAAAUAUAUUUUCUCUGAAAACUAGGCUUUACUCUGCAUUUCAAAUAAUAUGGAAUCUUUAGGCAAAAUUUUGGAUGCUUGUAAACAAGGGUGUAAGCUGCAGGUCCAGACUAGCUGACAGUGUUAAACUAGGACAAAGGGCAGCUUUUGAAUCUAGAUUAAACAUUUCAGAUUAAAAUCUAAAACCUUUCAUCUAAAAAAAUGCAUAUGUCGUUUCGGAAGUGUAUGUUCUGUAACAGGAUGCAGAAUCAGAGAGUA